GGAUAGUCGUACAUUUAUAUUAUCAAUAAUUACUGAUGCACGAUAUCUAUCCCCUGCGAUGUCUAUCAAUCUCUUCAAUGAUGGUUCUUCAUCGCCACUGCAUUAAGUACGUCUCCUCCGAGAAAUUAAUCGGUUAAUAAGAAACAGAUGUCUCAGUAUUUAAUGAUUAAGUCAUUUGUGGAUUGUAGAACAAUGAUUGAUUAGUAAGGGGGUAUCUAUAGCAAGCAGGGUAAGAUAGCGACAUUAAGAACAGGGUGUAUACGGGUGUAUACGAGUAUAUUAAAUGUAUUAUAUGUAAAGAGAUUUAAGAACGAGAGAACAAGAAACCAUUAUGGUUCUCUGGAGAACAUAUAACCUCAGAAGUUUAGACUAUUGCUCCUAAAUAGAGUCACCGCACAAUGUUAAAUUAACAACAGAACUGGAAACAAUCCAGCGAAGCUGCACGAAGAAGAUCGUCUCAAUGCCAUAUGUUAGCUAAUGGAAGAAGCUCAAAAAGUGAAGACUCUUCUCCUUAGAACGAAGGCAUGGAAGAUAUGCGGUGAUAUGCAUGCGCAAAGUUCUGGAAGGAUUGUACCAAAACUGUAGCAUUGAACGUUACAAAAAAAAGUAGAACGGAGCACCACUGCAUAGUGCCAAAGAUUCCAACGUCGCCAUCAAAGUACAAGGCCAGUUACUGUGACAGUUUGAGUUUCAAGAGCUCACAUCUCUUCAAUAACCUCCUUAAAAAAACCUGAGAGACCAGCACGGGAUGGAGGAAGGUGUUUUCAAAGCAAAACAGAAUCACUUCCUGUCAAAAAUUCUGGAUGAACCUACCUUCCAGCAGGAAACGCAGAUCAGGGCAGCAGUACCAAAAUUUCUCAUUCACGAAGUGCCAUAUAUAUCAGGGGAUGUUUCAAGUAGCGAAAAUACAGCAAAGCUAACAGCGGCGCCUAACAUGGCCGCAACUCUCGAGCUGAAAGGAGAUGAAGACAUGUAUGUGUGUGUGCGUGCGCGCGCGUGUAUAUAUAUAUAUAUGUAUGUAUGUGUGUGUGUGUGUAUAUAUAUAUAUAUAUAUAUAUAUCUAUAUAUAUAUGUAUGUAUGUAUGUAUGUAUGUAUGUAUGUAUGUAUGUAUUAGAGUCUCAAAGAAGAGAUAUUUGCAUAAGCGUAACAGACAACAGAGCUUAUCGACAGAGCUGAUUCAGAUAAAUGAAAGACGAAUCCAAGCGAUUUUCUUUCGCCAUUCCACUUCCAUCCGACAAUGAAAUAUUUAGCUGUGAUGCUAAACCAGAUUAACUACAGACAAAUAAAGUAUGAGGUGACAAUCAGCCACCUCCAGUGGUUGAUAUUUAUCUUGUUGCUGUUGAUCUUCUUCUUCUUCUUGUUUAUCUAAUUUCAAACCCCAUCAUCUACGACAUCUCGGAUACGUAUGUCAUUCCACCGAACUCCUAACUGACAUCCAGUUAUCAGUCGUUCGUCAGGUCAUGUCCAUGUCUGACCACAAACGAUACGUUUUACAUACGCAAAACCACUCAUUUUGAUUAUAAUUCAUGCGAUUCAAUAAAGUCAUUGGUAUGGAAUCUCGGUUUAUAAAAAUACAGUAGAACCACAUUAGAAAAUGAGGAAAACAAAUAAAUUGAAUGAUAUGAUGCUAAAGAAACAGAGGCCAAACGAUGAGACUAAACGGUAUGCACACACACACACACACACACACACACAUAUAUAUACAUAGUACAUAUAUACGCAUAUAUGAAUAUAUAUAUGUGGAACGCGGAGUAGCCGAAACAGGGGCAACUGAAGAAGGGGAAUAUUCCUUGUGUUGUAUGUCCUGUACACUGUUUUUUCGUUGUUUGAAAACAAAGUCCGUUUCUAUAUUUUUUGUUUUUAUGUUUUCGUUUCUCAUUGUGUUCAAAGUUUUUUUGGUGUCCUGUACCCAUAUAUGCAUGUAUAUAUACAUAUAGAUGUACAUAUAUGUAUGUAUAUAUGCAUAUGUUUUAUAUAUUAUUUGUUAUGAUAUAUAUAUAUAAUUGUUAUCGCCAUAUUAAUAUGGCAUUCUUAUAGAGACUUAGUAAUUUUAAUAUUUCUAUUAUAUAUAUAUAUAGAUAAGAAAGUUGGUUUGUGAAAGGACGUGGUUGAAUAUAUAGAAAAUAGUAAAAAGUGAAAAAACUACAGAAGGCUUGUUUUAAAAGGUUAAAAAAAUAUAUAUUUGAGUCAAUAUGUCUGAAGAAUAUUAUAAUUUGUUUUCUUACAAUGACAUAGAUUAGAAGAAAGACCGGUUUCGCGUUUAGCUUUUCAAAUUUCUUACAUCGUUAUGUUUAUGUUGAGAAGAGUUAUCGUUAUGUUUAUGUUCAAAAGAGUUCUAGAUAAGGGGAGGUAAUAAGUGAUUUCUUCCGGUGUAAGGGAGAUAAUCGCUUAAAAUUUUUUGCCUUUCCCUUGGUGUGAAUUUCUCUGUAUCAGUAUGUUGGAAUGGUUAAGUUUGGGCUUGUACUUUUCAAUGAAGAAUGUUUCCUUGUUUAGUCUAAUUUGUGUUGAUGAUCCGAUAGCACAUUGGUAAAAUGGAAAGAUUAAAAAUUGUGGUAGUAGUUGCUUUGCGCAUUUCUCAAUGUGCUCACUAAAAGGUAUCAUUCCGUAUUCUGGGAAUGCAAUCUGUUGUCGAUGCAGUGUGCAUCUACGUCUGAGUGAUAGUCCCGUGCAAGAACUCAAAAACACCCUAAUUGACAGACAUUACCCAGCUCAACUCAUAGAGGAUGGGAUCAGACGUGCAACAGAAAUCAACAUAGAAACUUUAAGAAAAGUUCAACGCAACAACACACCUUCCCCGAAAAUACUACCUUACAUACCUACAUACAACCCCAGAAACAAAGAAGCCUUCACCAUCAUCACCCAUAAUUUACCAAUACUUCAUAAGGACCCCAAAUUAAAGGAAAUUCUAAACAUACACCAAAUCAUUAAAAGCUACAAACAACCUAAAUCACUUAAAAAUAUUCUCACAAAGGCAAAAUUGUUUUCUGAAAUUACGGAUAAAAAAGUUAUAAAUUGUGGUAGACCGAACUGUGCAACAUGUCCAAACCUGCUACAAGGAUCAGAAUUCCUCUUCAAAGAGGGACAGAAAUUCAAGAUCAAAUCUAAUGUUACUUGUGCCUUUUAAAACAUAAUUUAUAUCAUAAAAUGCUCGGGCUGCCACCAAGACUACGUGGGAUCCACGGGACUAUCACUCAGACGUAGAUGCACACUGCAUCGACAACAGAUUGCAUUCCCAGAAUACAGAAUGAUACCUUUUAGUGAGCACAUUGAGAAAUGCGCAAAGCAACUACUACCACAAUUUUUAAUCUUUCCAUUUUUACCAAUGUGCUAUCGGAUCAUCAACACAAAUUAGACUAAACAAGGAAACAUUCUUCAUUGAAAAGUACAAGCCCAGAUUUAACCAUUCCAACAUACUGAUACAGAGAAAUUCACACCAAGGGAAAGGCAAAAAAUUUUAAGCGAUUGUCUCCCUUACACCGGAAGAAAUCACUUAUUACCUCCCCUUAUCUAGAACUCUUUUGAACAUAAACAUAACGAUAACUCUUCUCAACAUAAACAUAACGACGUAAGAAAUUUGAAAAGCUAAACGCGAAACCGGUCUUUCUUCUAAACUAUGUCAUUGUAAGAAAAAAUGUAUAAUAUUCUUCAGACAUAUUGACUCAAAUAUAUAUUUUUUAACCUUUUAAAACAAGCCUUCUGUAGUUUUUUCACUUUUUACUAUUUUCUCUCUCUCUCUCUCUCUCUCUCUCUCUCUAUAUAUAUAUAUAUAUAUAUAUAUAUAUAUAUAUAUAUAUAUAUAUUCAGAGAAGAAUACAGUGUACGUUCAAACACAAAAGAGAUACCCGAAGUAUAGGAUAUCUGAAGAAUAUCCUAUUCUUCGGGUAUCUCUUUUGUGUUUUCGAUGAGUAUUCUUGCUACCCUAAGAUUUUAAUUAAUGAUAAAAUGUUAUAUAUAUAUAUAUAUAAUUAUAAUAUGGGGUUAUUAAAAAAAAUUCUGGCCUAUAUGCUAAGAAAUAGACGAUAAAUCGCCUCACCACUGCAAAAAUGUUACCAACGCAUGUGUUGAAUUCGAUGCAACAAGCCAACUAAUAAAACAGAUAGCCCUGGAUUAGUUAAUUUCUAGAUCUGCGCAAAGGGUUUACCGUCUUCAGCAGCACAUACAUAGAAAAUAAAUGAGGUAUUUAUAUAUACCCACAAGAAAGCAAAAUGCAAAGCCAUAAAUACAUAUAAAUACCCCAGACACCUCCGAACAAGUUUCGUAGCUUGCCGCAACAUGUGUGUUCGGUAUGCUUUCCCUUAAUGGAGUAAUUUUUCAUUUACAAUAAUAGAGGACAAAGCAUUAAAAAAAAUUAUCAGUGGCCAGCAUAUAAAAAAGAAGACCGAUGAAGGUAAAGUUAUAUAUAUAAUUAAAAGGGCUUAGAAUACACGCGCGUGCACGCACACACACACACACAUAUAUAUAUACAUAUAUAUAUAUUCAUAUAUGCAUAUUCACAUACACACACAUAUAUGCACCAAGUGGUAUGUACACGUAUAUAUAUAUGUAUAUAUUCGUUCGACCCAGUUUCACAUAUAUGCAUAACAGUAUCACGUGAUCACUUGAUUGACUAGGCUAUCGGAUGUUAAACAUCGCUGGUCCCAAUAUACUUUGUACUGUUCUAGCUUAAGAAUGUAACGCGCAGCUGGUCUGAGAAUCGAACCCUCGAUCUUAGGAUCAUGUGUACAACUGGCCUAAUCAAUGAUCGACGUUCUUUCACAUGUAUGAUAAUAAAUAAUAAUAAUGCAUAAUAAUAAAAAAAACUCUCACAAGGUAUAUAACAUUAAUUAGUUUAAUCGAAUCGCAUUUAAUUGUUUCGAUCAGUGAAUAUAGUUGACAUAAUGUUGUUAAUUCGUAGCUUCCAUUAACCACAGUAGAGAUCUGUUCCUUAAGGCUGUCUGCCAAAAACUCAUUGGUCUGAUAGAAAAUGUAUCUCUUCUUUACUUUCCCUCUUCUUAUAUAUAUUAUAUGCUUUUUAAUUAGACGCAAUUAGUCAAUGAAUAUCUGUUUCCAAAGAAAUACUCGAGUUUCUUAUUUUCGAGUCAGUCUUCAUUAAAGAAAACAGCUGCCAGAGCCGAUAAUAAUCAAAAUUAUCUUCAGCGGAAUUCAAUCGUUAAUAUCCUCUCAUUGUAGACAACGAGCUGGAAGAAUCGUUCGCACGUCGAGCAAAUUGCUAAG
rnacentral:lncRNA from 1 species